GUUUUAUUUCACAUGUUUGAUGUGAAAACUUCUUGAAUUAUCAUUACCAAAUAUGUACGGAGCAUUUCUUAUGAACAAGUCGAUUCUUGCUAGGAAAUGUGAGGAAAGGAAAUGAGGAAUAUAGUUGUGAUGGGCUGAAUUGUUUCCCCCAGCCCCAGAAUUAUAUGUUGAAGUCCUAACUGACCCCAGUAUCUCAGAAUAUAACUGUAGUUUGGAGACCAAGUCUUUGCAAAAGUAAUUAAGUUAAAAUGAGAUCACCAGAGUAGGCUCUAAUCCAGCAUGAUCAAGGUCCUUAUAAGACUCUGACACAGAAGCUUUGGACACAGACACACAGAGAGAAAUCAAUGUGAAGACAUCGGAGGAAAUUAUCCCUCUGCAAGUCAAGAAGAGAGGCCUAGGACAGAUUCUUCCCUCAUGACUCUCCGAAGAAACCAACACUGCCAACAUCUUGAUCUUGGACUUCAAGCUUCCAGUACUGUGAGAAAAUAAAUUUCUGUUGUUUCAGCCAUCCAAUCUGUGUGUGAUACUUUGUUAACGACAGCCCUAGCAAACUAACACCACUUCAUUCAGGAUUCUUAUUCACUAAGAUCUUAUGCUUAUUUCUACACUCAAGAGUGUAAGAUAAAAAUGAAUAUAAUUUAGGCUAUUUAGGAUUUUAAGUAUACAUAUAAUGAAAUAAGUUAUAUUUCAAAUAGCAGCCUUGUGGGAGCAAAGGAGGAUUACUUUUUUGUUACCAAUCCAAAGAGAAUUUAUGGAAUGUUUUUAUUCUUAUGUGCAAAAAGUACUGAACACAAUUUCUAAAACAUAUAAUUAAUAAGUGUUGGUCACUUUCUGCUCUGUUUCUCUACUGCAAUGUAAGUAGAACCUGAAAAAAAAUCUUGCCGCUAAUAUAAUUUACCUUGAAGAUCUUGUUAAUUUCUCCUUUUAGGUAUCCUGUCCUUAAUUUUGCUAAGCUCUUUCCAAAUAACAAAUGCUUCUUAGAUUUAGUUACCAAGCCACAGCUCUAACUACCAAGAUGCUAUGAGUUCCAAGUCACAUUAUUCUUGACCUUUCAGUUCUCUACAUGUCCUAGUGCCCACUUAUUCCGGGCUGUGCUCUGCUAUCUCAUGGGAUAAAUGUUCCAUCCUAUAUGAGGCAUGUUUGCUCCUGCACAUUUAUUACUUCAUUCCCUAUAUACUUAUAACAGUGCAUAUUAUAAUUUUCAUGUCAAACCAAAAAAAAAAAAAUGAUUUACUCUAGUUCUAUCUGUAAUGGUGAAAAAAAAAUGUUCUGGACUGAAGUGAAGUUUAGUUAUUUAUAAAAUCAUAUUCAGUUAACGUUUUCUUCAUACAUAUCUAUUAUGCUUUAAACACAACUUUAAUACCCAUUUCACAUAUGUAUUACAAUUUUUUACAAGGAAAAAAAGCUCUAACGAAAUGUAAUGAUCUGCCCUAUACCACACAGUUGACAAACAGUGAAAUUGAAAUUCAAACCUAAAUUCUGACCUAGGUUUAUUUUUUAAUUAUUAUUAUUAUGCCUUACUGCUUCCUAUUUUGGCAUUCCAAUAUUUUUAUAAACACUAGUAGAAAUUAGGGGAAAGACAAAGGAAAGUGUUCAAAACAGGUAUUUAUUUUCCAAUCUAUCUCCUAGCCCCUCUUCCGUUAUUUUCAUCUUCAGGGAGAAAAACAAGAACUGGCAAAAAAUAGGCAGCAGAGUAGCUCAUGCUGUAAACAAGAGGUGCUGGGUGCUCCCCUAGGAUAAAUACUGUUUAAAAAUGCAUCAAUGUAAUAUCUGGAAAGCACUCUAAAAACAGAGAGGCCUAUUUAAACUCCUUCAGUCAAGCAAAUUGCAUGUAUAUUUCAUCUUAACACUUUGCUUACUUGGAAGAACAAGCAAAUUUAAAGAGGCUUUGUGUUCUAAACUAAAGAAAAGUUGUCCACAGAAUUUUCCUUGGAGCACAGCAUUAUUGAUUUUUCUAGAAGUCAUCCAGAAGGAAGUAAAAAUUAUUACAACUUGGGAACAAAACACACUUGACAAAUGUAAGCUUCUGGGUGUAGACUGGGAAAACUUCUUACCGUAUCUGAGCUGCAUUUUUAAAAAAGUAAGCAAAGCUUAAUCUUGAAGUUAUUUCUUUUUUUUUUAAUUUCUAAAAAACUUCUCUAGGGAUAAAAAGAAGAGACUAUUAAGAAAUACUCUGAAAGGAUUUUGAUUUUUUUUAACUUAUAAUGAUUUUCAUUUUUUCCAUUAUAGCUGGUUUACAGCGUUGUGUCAAUUUUCUAUUUUAAAACCUUAACUAUCCAGCACAAUUCCAAAGGGAAGGAUGUGUUCAAAACAAACAAAAAGGAGCAUCUUUACCGUUAAAAAUCAGUUUUAGAAAAUAAUAAAUGUUAAUAAUAAUAAGCCUCUCAACCUUGAUCGCUCCCUGAUAUUCUCUAGGUAUGGAAAUUACCUUUAGCUUCUCUAAAUACUGCAGCCCAGCCAGUGUAUUAGCAAAUAAACAAACUUCAGUAAGAAGACCGCAACACACAUCAGGCAAGACACAGACAUGUAAUUCCAAGUGCUAAUUCUAUGACCAGUUACUAAAUGAUAUCAUUGGGUUAAGAAUAACAAGAACACUGUGAUGGAUAUGUUGAAACCUCUAAGCAUCUAUAAGUUGGAGUUGCCAAAUCUGUGUAAAUACUUAUGAUCCCUCACAUAGCCACUUGCAUAUAUCACAUCCAAACACUCUAAUAGGUAGAAAAUGCGAUGACAAUAACAUUGCAAAAUUAUAACUGGAUAUUUUUUCUAUUCUGUUCUAUUAGAAAAAAAAUGUAACUAUGAAAACAUAUGACUUUGGAUGAUUAAGUUCAAGUUGUUCUAGUUUUUCCUGGAAGGAGAAAACAGCUCUGGCUAAAGAAAUCAGAUUAAUGGUAAAAGGAAGGAGUUCAAUUUAAGAGACAAAAGGGAUGCAGCUGAGAAAGAGAGAAAGGAAGAAAAGGAGGGGUCUAGAGCAUCAGCUGAACACUCAAUCCCACUCCCUGAAUAAUCCACUGAUGACUGUACCUCUCACAGAAGAUGUUCAGUGAUGUUCCUUGAAAAAAAGAUCACAAAAUCAUUACAGAAAGAGGACACACUUUGGAAUUACAUUCUCCAGUGAAACACAAACUCAGUUAUUUACUGGAAAUGUACUCUGAUCCUCAAUGCCUUCAUAAUAAAAUAGUGAUUGUAUCAAUUAUCUAGUUAAGUCGCUGAGAGUACUAGCAGUAAUGCAAGAAAAAUGCCCACCACAUGGUAGAUGAAUGGUAGCUAAUACACUGUCCUUUCUUUACAUAAUCCUGGAAAUUUCGGAGCAAACAUUUAUUUCCAUUGAGAAAUGGUAAAUUUUAAAUGAUCAUGAAAGUAUGCCUUUUCACGUGAAAAAAAAAAAGUCAGGUUUAUUAUCUGCUAGGAUGUAAACACACCCUGUGUAACAUUCAUAAUCUACCUAUUCCACUUCUUAUGUUAACAUAGACUCCUGUGUCUCUCCCUGGAUACCCAUCACUGAUCUAAACCUCCCCAUCCCCAGACAUAAAAAGAUUAUGGAAAAAAAGAGGGUUAGCAAACAAAAGAAAACAGACAGUUUUUUGUUUGUUUGUUUUUUUGUUUUUAAUGCAGCCAAGUCCUGUGAAUUAAACUGCUGAGAAAAACAGACCCAUUUCUUACCCCAUGCUUUAAAAAGUGACAAAUUAUUUAUUGGAAAAUUUGUGUCUUGGCUUGAAGAGAAUGAUCUCUACCCUUGGUGUACAUAAAUUGAGAACUGGAAACGAGAUGUGAAAUCUUUAAUCUUCUGGUGAAAUAAUUCAUCAUGACACUUGGAUAAUUAAGAGGCUACCUCAGGCCAUGGGGAGAACCACAAUAACAAAAAAAAAAAAAAAAAAAAAAAAAAAAAAA
rnacentral:lncRNA from 1 species